rnacentral:lncRNA from 1 species
UCUGUAUUUUGGUUAGAGUGGAGAACUAAUAAUUCAGCUGUCUCUUAAAGCGGUGUUGAGCUGGUGCUAGAUUGCAGCUUUUGCUAGAUGGAAAUCAACUCUGAUUAACCAUAUUCCCAAUUUCCUUCACAGACUUUUUGACCUUGUCACUAUUUGAGCUGGAGAAGAUCAGUCUAUAGUAUUACCUUUGAAUCAAAAUCUGAAGGAUCCCUGGAAUUUGAGCAUUAUGAGAAUAUUUUUCAGGGUGUAGUUCUAAGAGAAAGAGGACAUCAUCCUUUCUCACUUGAUGCCCACAGUUUUUCUCUCCUGGCAGCAGCCAUAGCUCCAGGUGGAAAAGGCAACCUACUCAUUGAGGAAGUUCUAACCUCUGCAGUCCGGGCUCCCUGGAAGAGAAAUGGGCAAACAGUUACUUCUGCAUCUUGGUUGGUGUGGGAUCAAAACAGAGUGGAGGAGUAAAUUGACAGGGCUUUCCUCUUCACCUUGUGUUGGCCCAGAUUCCCAGGGACCAAUCUAGAACAAAGGGGUAAGCCAGUGUUGCUUAGAGACCCAAGGUAGCAGAGAGAGGGGGACUCUGACCCAGCAGAGAUGUGCUGUGGGUUUCACAACAUCUCAGUGGAAAACCAAUAAACAUAUAUCUAUUGCUGUGGUGGUAGUCUGG